rnacentral:rRNA from 1 species
GUGAGGAAUUUUCCGCAAUGGACGCAAGUCUGACGGAGCAACGCCGCGUGCAGGAAGACGCUCUUCGGAGUGUAAACUGCUUUUCUGAGGGACGAGAACGGACGGUACCUCAGGAAGAAGCCCCGGCUAACUACGUGCCAGCAGCCGCGGUAAUACGUAGGGGGCGAGCGUUGUCCGGAGUUACUGGGCGUAAAGGGCAUGCAGGCGGUCCUGUGCGUUUCGCGUGACAGCGGGUGGCUUACCUGCCCGAGGAUGCGAAAGACGAUAGGACUUGAGGGCCAGAGAGGGACACGGAAUUCCGGGUGGAGUGGUGAAAUGCGUAGAGAUCCGGAGGAACACCGAAGGCGAAGGCAGUGUCCUGGCUGGCAACUGACGCUGAGAUGCGAAAGCUAGGGGAGCGAACGGGAUUAGAAACCCCUGUAGUCC